UCAGUUCAGCACUAAGUCACUUUGUCUUUAUGGCAAAUGUGAGAUGCAGUGUAUGGAAUGUCAAAUUUCUAGUAUGAGAAAUUAACGAUUUAAGUCCUUCUUAAAUGAGGCCAUUUACCCAUAGAGGGUGCCAGGCCCGUAUAACGUUAAUGAUUACUAGAUGGCAUUUCCAAAGAGUCGUGUUGCUUGAUAGUGCAGCACUAAGUUGGUGGUAAACUCCAUCUAAAACUAAAUAUAACCAUGAGACCGAUAGUAAACAAGUACCGUGAGGGAAAGUUGAAAAGAACUCUGAAUAGAGAGUUAAAUAGUACGUGAAACUGCUUAGAGGUUAAGCCCGAUGAACCUGAAUAUCCAUUAUAGAAAAUUCAUCAUUAUGAUUUUAAUAUUAAUAAUAUUAUAAUAAUGGUGUGCAUUUUUUCUAUAACGGACAUUGUAAUCUAUUAACAUAAAAUAUAUUUAUCAUAAGAUCAAUGAUGCGUAAGUUUAUUCAAAUUAUUUUGCUUGCAAUUUAACAUAGAAUAAAUGCUCUUGAUUUGAUAAAGUGUUGAUAGAUUUAUUAUAUAUAGUGCUUAAAUAUUUAUAUUUUAUAAUAGCAUAUUAAUCAUUGAUUUUUAUGUUUAUUAUAUGCACUUAUAUGAUUAACAAUGCGAAAGAUUCAGGAUACCUUCGGGACCCGUCUUGAAACACGGACCAAGGAGUCUAACAUAUUUGCAAGUUAUUGGGUAUCAAAACCUAAUAGCGAAAUUAACAUAACUUUAAUGGGAUUAGUUUUUAGAUUAUUUAUAGUCUAUUAAUUCAAUCCCGGGGCGUUCUAUAUAGUUAUGUAUAAUAAUAUUUAUAUUAUUUAUACCUCUAACUAGAGCGUACCUUGAGCAUAUAUGUUGUGACCCGAAAGAUGGUGAACUAUACUUGAUCAGGUUGAAGUCAGGGGAAACCCUGAUGGAAGACCGAAACAGUUCUGACGUGCAAAUCGA
rnacentral:rRNA from 1 species